CCUACGGGAGGCAGCAGUGGGGGAUAUUGGACAAUGGGGGGAACCCUGAUCCAGCGACGCCGCGUGAGUGAAGAAGUAUCUCGGUAUGUAAAGCUCUAUCAGCAGGGAGGAAGGAAUGACGGUACCUGAGUAAGAAGCCCCGGCUAACUACGUGCCAGCAGCCGCGGUAAGACGGAGGGGGCAAGCGUUAUCCGGAAUUACUGGGUGUAAAGGGAGCGAAGACGGGGGUGUAAGUCUGGAGUGAAAGGCGGGGGCCCAACCCCGGGACUGCUCUGGAAACUAUGUGACUGGAGUGUAGGAGAGGGGAGCGGAAUUCCGAGUGUAGCGGUGAAAUGCGUAGAUAUUAGGAGGAACACCAGUGGCGAAGGCGGCUCACUGGACAGUAACUGACGUUGAGGUUCGAAAGCGUGGGGAGCAAACAGGAUUAGAUACCCUGGUAGUC
rnacentral:rRNA from 1 species